UACGUAGGGGCAAGCGUUGCCCGGAUUUACUGGGCGUAAAGGGAGCGUAGGCGGACUUUUAAGUGAGAUGUGAAAUACCCGGGCUCAACUUGGGUGCUGCAUUUCAAACUGGAAGUCUAGAGUGCAGGAGAGGAGAAUGGAAUUCCUAGUGUAGCGGUGAAAUGCGUAGAGAUUAGGAAGAACACCAGUGGCGAAGGCGAUUCUCUGGACUGUAACUGACGCUGAGGCUCGAAAGCGUGGGGAGCAAACAGGAUUAGAUACCCCGGUAGU
rnacentral:rRNA from 1 species